rnacentral:rRNA from 1 species
AAUGCCUAGGAAUCUGCCUGGUAGUGGGGGAUAACGUUCGGAAACGGACGCUAAUACCGCAUACGUCCUACGGGAGAAAGCAGGGGACCUUCGGGCCUUGCGCUAUCAGAUGAGCCUAGGUCGGAUUAGCUAGUUGGUGAGGUAAUGGCUCACCAAGGCGACGAUCCGUAACUGGUCUGAGAGGAUGAUCAGUCACACUGGAACUGAGACACGGUCCAGACUCCUACGGGAGGCAGCAGUGGGGAAUAUUGGACAAUGGGCGAAAGCCUGAUCCAGCCACGCCGCGUGUGUGAAGAAGGCCUUCGGAUUGUAAAGCACUUUAAGUUGGGAGGAAGGGUUGUAGAUUAAUACUCUGCAAUUUUGACGUUACCGACAGAAUAAGCACCGGCUAACUCUGUGCCAGCAGCCGCGGUAAUACAGAGGGUGCAAGCGUUAAUCGGAAUUACUGGGCGUAAAGCGCGCGUAGGUGGUUUGUUAAGUUGGAUGUGAAAUCCCCGGGCUCAACCUGGGAACUGCAUUCAAAACUGACUGACUAGAGUAUGGUAGAGGGUGGUGGAAUUUCCUGUGUAGCGGUGAAAUGCGUAGAUAUAGGAAGG